CUCGGGAUCCUCCUGCCUCUGCUUCUCAAGCUUCUGGGAUUAUAGAUGUGCGCCACCAUGUCUAGCAACCCCAUUUUUUUUUUUUAAAGAAAUAUUGAUUGAACACCUGCUAGGUGUGUGGAAUGCAGUUCUGAGGAAGACAAGCUAUAUCUCUGCCUUCAUGGACACAGAAGGGAAAAUUCACAGUGUAUUAAGUAGCAAGAUGAAGUACUACUCUGGUAACAGAAAAUAGAAGCAUUUUAUCCUAACUUGGUUGAUAAUUGAAGAGUUGAGGUUUUUAGCAGAGAUGUGAAGGAUGCUUAGGAGUUAGGCCAGGAAGGGGCAAGGGCUAGGCAAGCAGCAGAAGCAGCUUGUAGAGACUUUAAAUGGGGAGAAUGUAUCCUUGAGGACUUGAAAAGCAUUUGGUUUGGCUAAAUUGUUGGAUUUGAGGACAAAAUGGGAAAGGGAAAGAUUGACAAAGGUACCAGUUGUGUUGUGUGUGUCUGUAAUCCCAGCUUGGGAUGCUGAGGCAGGAAGAUUUCAAGAAUGAGGCCAGACUGGGCAACUUAGACCCUGUCUCAAAAAAUACAAAGGUCUAGAGGGAUAUAGCUUAGUAGUAGCGCACCUCUGGGUUUAAUCUCCAGUACUGGGGGGAAAAAGAUUGAUAAAGGUCAGGUGCUUUGAAGCCUGUUCCAGGUUUCAGUUGGACUGCCAGUGAAGAUCAUGACUUAAGAUAUAAAUAUAUUUCCUCAUAUGAAAGAAGUCCAGGGGCUGGGUUGUGGCUCAGUGGGAGGCACUGGGUUUGAUUCUCAGCACCACAUUAAAUAAAUAAUAAAGGUUAAGAAAAAAAAAGUCCAAGGAUGCAGGGCUAUAGCUGUACGGAAGCUCUAUCACUGAGAACUGGGCUCCUUUUUGGUUUUUUGCUCAAUUGUUCAGGACACAUGAUUUUCAUGCUUAUGGAUACUUCAUGUAUAGGAUGGCUGCCAAAGCCCCAGCCAUCAUGACUUUGAAACUGACUGCAGAAGAAAUGGAUUUAGGCAAAGAGGGCAUAGCCUGAUGUCUUUUCUCAAUUUAUGAAGCAUUUUUCGAAAUUCUGAGCAAUCGCAUCUAUUUUUGUCUCAUUGGCCAGAACUUGGUAACACAGGAAAUGUUUCAUUUGUGGAUAUUUUAUAGACAGGGACACAGCAUUAACUAAAAGAAAGGAAAUUCUGGGUUUUGGAAAUAAAAUAACCCUUUCAAGUUCCUGAAUUACCAAUGCAUCUGAUUUUUGUACUUCCUGUCAUCUCUGAGAAAUAUCCUGGCUGGUGGAGAGCUGGAAUAGUCCUUUGACAGGGUACUCUGCUGUCUUGACAGAAUCAGGGUUUUGUUACUAGGGAACAAGAGGACAGUAGUCGUUGGGUAGGUAAUGAGCAGUUUACAUGUUAAGAGCUGAACUUUAUUGGAAGUAAUGAAGGAUUAUAAGUGGCUGGAUUUGCAUAUUUAAAAGCUAAUUCUGACAGCAGUGUAGAGAGUAUUGGAGGACAGGCUCAAGACAGAUAACCUGUGUGUGUGAGAGAGAGUGGUGGCCCAGAAGACACCAGUGAUGAUUAGCUUACUUGGGUUGAAUUGGGGUGUAAACAAGUGAUAUUAUUCAUUGAACAGAUGUUAACUUUUGGGAUUUAGCAUGUGCAAGACACUGAGCAUGACCUUAUAGAUGGGGUUGGGAUGGUUGGGUGGACAGAGUCUCUGCUGUCAUGAAUUUAUUGUCUAGAGGGGGCCCAAAUGUAAAGGUGUAACUAUGACAAGUUCUAGGAAGGAGUUAGCCUAUUCAGAGAGGUCCCCAGGGUAUUUCCCUUGAGGAAAUGGCACUUGAGCUAAGAUUUGCUUGAAGAGUAGGAAUAAAUGAGGGAAGAAUGGCUGGAAGGUCUCUUGUGGAAUAAAGAUUCAAGGAGUUCAGAAGGAAUCCCUGGAAACCAGAAGAUGAUCACAGCCAUUCAGCCAAGAGAUAAGGCGCUAGGGUGGAGAAAAGUGGAAUGAAAGAAGAUUCAGGGGGCAAAUUCCAAAAAUUUAAAGGGUGAAUGUGAAAGAAGGAGGAGUCAAAAGUGCCACCAUUAUUUCUAGCCUCCUACAUCAGAAUGGGUUGGAGUGCUCUUUACCAAGAUGGGAGUUUAGGAGAGAACCGUGUUUGGGAAGGUUAUAAGUUUGUUUUAGACAUGUUGAGUGGGAACCUGGAUCCAUGCAUGUGGAAUUUGGGUGAGAGGAUUGAGCUGGAAGAAUAAAUAGAUAAGCUACCAGUGUACAGGUGGUAAGUGAAGCCAGGGAGUGUCGAAUGAAAGGGGGACCUGGCCUUAAGGAACAUCAGUUCAUGUCUCACGUUCUAAAAAGUCAUUCCACUUCUCUUCAUAUAUCAAACACCAGCCAUGGAUCAGUGACCUUCAGCCUAAAAUCCUAAAGUUCUUUGUGUUUUCCGGUCUGAGUGACAGGGCCUCCAUCUUCCUAUUGUCUCAUCCUGCUUCUUCCCCUUCAGGAGGCCAUUAUAAAUUACCAUUCCUAAGUGCUUUUCCUAAAGAGAAACUCAUGCGAGCUCCAGGGAUGUAGUCAUGUCCAUUAGUCUUUCCCUGUCUCUAGGAAGCUUGUGGAAUGAGUACCUUUUUGUCCAAAAGUCUCUGGGUCCAUGUUGAGAUCAUUCACUAAACUGGGCCAAGGCCCAGUCUCAUAAUAACCUUGGGGAUUUUUCUGGGUUGCUUAUGACUUUUCUGGACUCAGAAGAGUCUUUGUCCUCUGGUGCCUUCUCACGUCCUGACCCUUUCUUUAGCAAGGCUCUACCUCCAAUCUGACUGGCCAAGCCUUCUCUUGGGCUCUGGAUAUGCAGUACUUCCCAGAUCUGGAAUCAACCCCCUCCCCUCCAGGGUGAAUGAUGGGAAUCUGUACUGGUUUGGUGGCUGUCAACAUUCCAAUAAAUUUUUAGUACCCCAAGCGCACAAUGCUAAGAUUGUGGGGUUUGGGACAGGGAUCCUGACUGGAGAGAGAGCUGCAGGCCUCUUGAGGAGCGGAAUUGUUUGUGAGUCUAUGGGAAGCCUUCAUUUACUACUAUGAGCCCAGGCUCUGUCUGGAAAAGUCUAGGGUCAACUGAGACCACAGGACCACUUCCUGGUUGAGACAAUGACCUCUCCUCCUGCCAAACCACAGCCAGUUGGCUGGCCUUCAGAGGCAUCAUCUCCAGCUGACUGUUUUAUUGAGGCCACAAAGUGCCCUUGGAGAUGGGAUGAUUUGGAGCCAAUUCCAAUUCAAGGAGCCUAGCUUUCAGUCUCCAAGCCACAGUGUGGCUUCUUUCUGUUGCUUAGACUUAUGACUGGGUGGACAUCCUGACAGACUCUGGAGAGGAGGGAAGAAGACAAGUCAUCGUCACAGAACUCUAUAUUUUGGAGGAAAUUCGAGGGACUACAGCUUAGAAGAUUUCCUUGAAAGCUCACUGCAGCAAUCCUCAGGAGAACUUGACUCUCAAAACAGCAUGGCAAUGUGGGGACAAGACAGGACUGUGGGGAUGUUGUCUUGCUCCUUUGCUCAUUCAGUGUUGAGUACAUUGCUGGGUGCUAGUCACUUGCACAGGCAACCAAAAUACUAAGGUGACCAAGAGCUCUUCUAGGAACAGAUACGGCCACAGACUAUGGAAAUAUAAGGUGAUGAGUGCUAGAGCAGAAAUACCCCAGGAACUGUAGCCCACUAGUGGGCGGAGUCUUCAUUGGAGGUGGCUGGGUUAUGAAUGAUGGGGACAGUUCAUUUCAAAGAGAAACAGUAGAGCACAGAAAUACAAAAUAUCAAUGUUGGCAGCUACCUUUAAAAAAAAAAAAGUUAUUUUGCAGGCUGGGGUUGUGGCUCAGUGGUAGAGCACUUGCCCAACAUGUGUGAGGCACUGGGUUCGAUUUUCAGCACCCAUAUAAAUAAAUGAAUAAAAUAAAGGUCCAUAAACAUCUAAAAAAUUUUUUUAAAAAAGUUAUUUUGAAGUUGGUAAUGUAGACUCUGGUUCCACCACUUACUGCAAUCAAAAUGGAGAUAAUACCUACCUGAUAAGAAAAUGGUAUUAUUAGUCACAUAUUACAUUCCAGAUCCUACAUGUACAUAAUUUCUAAUCCUAACAGUGACUCUGAAAGUAUGUUUCUCCAUUUUGCAGAUGAGGAAGUAACACUGGGGUUGCUUUUGCUUAUAUGGAUUAAAGGCUGGUAGGGAUUUGGCCUUCCUACUAUUCCAGGAACAGUAAAUGCAGGCAGAAAUGAGGACAUGAGAUAAGGACAUCUUUUUGACAUGUCCUUCCUCAUUGGUUGGGAUAUAUUUUGGCAGACUUGCCAGAUACCAAAUUUGGAUCUUGAUAGAAAAUAUGGCUGUUUACCUAAAGACCAUUUAAAAAC
rnacentral:lncRNA from 1 species